GAGAUGUGGACUGUAUAGAAGUGAGAAUGUUGGCAUGAGUAGCGAGAUGUGGGUGAGAAUCCCACAGGCCGUAAACCCAAGGUUUCCAGGGGAAGGUUCGUCCGCCCUGGGUUAGUCAGGACCUAAGCCGAGGCCGAAAGGCGUAGGUGAUGGACAACAGGUUGAUAUUCCUGUACCACCAAUAACCGUUUGAGAAAUGGGAUGACACAGUAGGAUAAGCUAACCGCACUGUUGGUUAUGUGCGGGCAAGUAUUGAGGCAGUUCAGGUAGGCAAAUCCGCCUGAAUAAUGCUGGGGUACGAUGCGGAGCGAAAUUUA
rnacentral:rRNA from 1 species